AGCAGCCGCGGUAAUUCCAGCUCCAAUAGCGUAUAUUAAAGUUGUUGCAGUUAAAAAGCUCGUAGUUGAAUUUCGGGGUUAGUAGGUUGGUCGUGCCACUGGUAUGUACUGGUUCUACUGAUCCCUCCUUCUUGUAGAACCGUAAUGCCAUUCACUUGGUGUUGCGGGGAAACAGGACUGUUACUUUGAAAAAAUUAGAGUGUUUAAAGCAGGCUAACGCUUGAAUACAUUAGCAUGGAAUAAUGAAAUAGGACGUUCGAUCCUAUUUUGUUGGUUUCUAGGAUUGACGUAAUGGUUAAUAGGGAUAGUUGGGGGCAUUAGUAUUCAAUUGUCAGAGGUGAAAUUCUUGGAUUUAUUGAAGACUGACUACUGCGAAAGCAUUUGCCAAGGAUGUUUUCAUUAAUCAAGAACGAAAGUUAGGGGAUCGAAGACGAUCAGAUACCGUCGUAGUCUUAACCAUAAACUAUGCCGACUAGGGAUCGGAUGAUGUUAAUUUUUAAUGACUCAUUCGGCGCCUUAC
rnacentral:rRNA from 1 species